GCUGCUGGAGGAGAAACACAGUACAGCCACAUGGGGGCGCUCCUUCCUCUGGGAAGCGUUUCAAUGGGCAACGUUGAGUUCAGAGAGGACCUACCAGUGCAGGUUGAAAGGUUCAGAAGUUUGGAAGCAAGAAGGCAAUCAGCUUUCCCAUCCAGACCAAAAGUUUCAUACCCACUUUUUCCAUGAACCAAAGGGCACAGGGUGAACAGCCUGGCAUUCAGCAGCCCUCCCCGGGAAGUCCUGGCCAGAAAGGGGCAGGCUGGGGAACCGCAUUACCUGGUUUCUGAUGGAGCCACGACAGGAAGUUUAUAUGCCAAGGUGAUCAGAGCAGUGGCUGUGAAAGAUGCCAAGAACAGCAUGGCCCCAAGGAGGAUGAGGAUCUGUGUACUCCUGCAAAGAAGAGAGGAUACGGAGAGGAGUGCCCUUCAGUUUCUUGCCCCACACAUGCGCUUCCUAUGGCACGAAAGGCUGGAAAUCCUGACCAUCAGAGGUACUUCCUGCUUUUGAGAGGCCCUGCUUUUGAGAGGCUGAUGAGUGGCAGGGAGAGCGGGGCUGGGGCUGGAGGACCUGAGGCAGCCUCGGUCUUGACCAUCCAUUAGUUGUGCCACACCGGGCAGGGCCUUGAGCUUGAGUUUCCUGGUCUAGACAGGAACAGUAAUCGCAUCCUCGCCUGCCCACCCUGAGGCUUACUAUGCAGCUCAAAAGGAGUCCAUGCCUGGGAACGUCCCUUGUCAUCUAUGAAACCCGAUAUGGAUACAAGUGGUGGUUGAUUUGGGAGAGAGGACUGUCAAAGGCAGGGUGGGACACGGGGUGGACCCACUCCAAGCACAGGGGAGAGAGGAUCGAGAAGGAGGAUGGUAUGGUUUGGAUCUUUGUCCCUGCCCAUAUCUCAUGUGGAAUUGUAAUCCCCAGUGUUGAAGUGGGGCCUGAUAGGAGGUGACUGGAUCGUGGGGAUGGAUUUCCCCCUUGCUGUUCUUGUGAUAGUGAGUGAAUUCUCAUGAGAUCUGGCUGUUUAAAAGUGUGUAGCACCUCCCCGCUUUGCUCUCUUCCUCCUGCUCCCACCAUAUUAAGAUGUGCCUGGUUCCCCAUCUGCCCUGAUUGUAAGUUUCCUGAGGCCUUCCCAGAAGCAGAAGCCUGCACAGCCUGCAGAACCAUGAGUCAAUUAAACCUCUUUUCUUUAUAAAUUACCCAGUCUCAGGUAGUUCUUUAUAGCAUGUGAAAACGGACUAAUGCAGAGGGGGAACCAGGCACGCCUUCAACUGAGGAGCAGAGCCUGAGACAAAUGUCCGGGUGCAGGUAGUUCACGUGGGUGUAGGAAUGAGGGAUAGGGUAGGAGAACAGGGAAGCAGGGAAAACCAAUACCAGGAUGUGCUAUCAAGGUGGCCAAUGCUCAGUUCUUCCAGAAUGUUCCACAGGGCCAUAUGAAAUGUACCUUAAAACUGUCCUGUGAGAUGAAAGACAGAAGGAUUUUCCCACUGUCUUCUAUCUCAAAUGGGUUAAGGAUGGUCCCACACAAAUUAAUUCCUCCACACUUUGGGACCGUGCAUGUAUAAGACUAGGAUGUUUCCUGAAGCACCCAGAGUGAGGCGCUGUCUGGUUGUACCUGCUCCGAAGUGUGAGGGUUGGGAUUAAGAGGAUCCACAGUGGUGUGGAAGAAAUGUCAAACACAAGUGCGAGACCAUCCAGGCACAGCCUGACCUGGAAAAUGCCUUUGACAAUGCAAUUCUGCUAGUGAAAGUUGCCAUGGCUGUUCAUGAGGAAGGGAUGAGAUAGAUACUAUUCAGUUAUCAAGUGAUACAGGGAGAAAAUUAUUUUCAGCCAGAGUACCAAUGUUAGUGUAAUAUUUGGAAAGAAGGAUGAAUUCUAGCUCCAUGAUGCUAUGAUUGAUUACUAAUGUCUGCUAUGAGGGUAAGCAGGGGGUUAUGGUAAUAAUGCUGUAUGUAUAUUUACUAUGACUUCUGCCAGACCCCUUAGCUCUUCUCUCCUUGAAUUACUGAGCUCCAGAAAGACCUGAUUCCACUGGCAUUCCAUGGAAUUAUAUUCUCUAAAGGAAGAAAAGCCCUACUUUUAUAUUUCCCUCCACUUAUAAGCUAAAUCUUGUUGCAUAGUCACAAGUUUGGACAGUGUGGGUUUUCAGCUGAAGGACUGAAAUCCACCUUCCACGACAGCCUUUGGGAAAGAUGCUGACACGGGGCCAGUGCUCCUCAGUCACAAGGACACUCACAUGGGUUCCCAGGCAAGUCUAGAGUGCGGAGGCAUAAGAACUCAGUGUCCUAGGUAAGUGGUAGUCAGGCCAUCCAAUAAAAACCCACAGCCACCCGAGUAAAUAUGUGUUUAACUCCCUGGGGGACUUGAGCCCAGUCCCUGGCACCUACUUCCAAGAUCAGUAUCUCCACCACAGACUCCACAAGUCUCUUCCAGCUAGCACCAUUUCAACUAAACUCAUAAAUCUUCCUGACAUUGAAUGUUAUGGGCUGAAUUAUGUCCCCAACAAAGUCCUAUGUUGAAAUCCUAACCCCCAGUAAUUCAGAGUGUGACUGUAUUUGAAGAUAGAGUCUUUAAAGCAAUAAUUAACAUUAAACGAGGUCAUUGGGGUGGGCCUUAAUCCAAUAUGACUGUGUCCUUAUAAGAAGAGGAAACUUGGACACAGAAGGAAGAACAUGUGAAGACUCAGAUGUUUUGUUUUAUUAUUAAUAUUCCAUUCUGGCAACAGUUAAAUUGGAUGACUAGAGGACUGAAUAUUGAUGUUCCCUCUACGGAAAGUGAUUUAUCAUUAUGAUUCAAGAGCGUAAAAGACAUUCAUGCCCUUUGACCUAUUAAUUCCCCUCAAAGAUAUAUGUUGUAGAGAAGUAUCAAAGUUGGAGACAAAUGGUUUCCAUGAAAAUAUUUAUCAAGCCAUUAUUUAUGAAUGCAUAACAUUGGAAAUAAUCCCAGUAUUAAACAAUAGAAGGUAUACAUAAAUUAUAUAGUUAGUUCAUGGAAUGGAAUGUUAUGCAGACAUUUAAAUUAUGUUGCUUUAAAAAUAAAAUAAUAUAGGGAAAUGCAUGUGUCAUAAAACUAUUGAAAGAAAGAUACCAAGGUGUAUAUACAGAAUGCUUUCAUGUAUCAAAAGCAGGGCACAGCCUGGGCAACACGGCAAGACCUCAUCUCUUUACAGAAGGUAAAAAAUUAGCAAGGUGCAGUGGUCCAUGCCUGUUACUCGAGAGGUUGAGGCAGGAGAAUCGUUUGAGCCCAGGAGUUGGAGGCUGCAGUGAGCUAUGAUGGCACCACCGCACUAUAGCAGCCUGGGUGACAGAGUGAGACCCUCAUCUCUUUAAAAAAAAAAAAAAAAAAAAAAAACUGGGCAGAAAAAAUAUCAGAAGGAUAAGCCCCAAAAUAUUAGCAGCAAAUUCUCCUUCCCUUGACUGACAAAGUGGAACUGGGGUGAUUAUUCCCCCCUCUCUUAACUCCUAAUGUUUUCCAAUGUUUCUUAAAUUGAACAUAUAUUUUAACACAAAGAACAAUAAAUUUUUAAAAUAUGGCAUGAAUAAUCCACAACUACAAGUCUCUCCAUGAAUUAUUGAGGCCUUAAGGUGUUUCUAAAACUAACAAAAAUUAAGGUGAUAAAUAUCCAAUGUGGGAAAGCUGGUGCACCGAUACAUGGCUGAGGGCGUUGUAAAUUACUUCACUCUUUCUGGAGAGCAAUCUCACAAUAUGUGACAAGUGCCACAGAAUUGUUCCUACCCUUUGACCUAGCAAUUCCAGUUGGAAAUCUGCCCCUGUGAAAAUAACUAAGAGAAAAAGUAGUGUGUUCAAAGGCAUGCAUUGCAGUGACAUUUAUAAUCAUGAAAAAUUGGCCACAAUCUAGAUACCCAACCAUAAAAAUGGUAGAUAAACCCUAAAACUGCCAAGUAUGCAGGUUAUGUCAAUAUGUGGCAAUGUUUAUAAGAACAGUUAAAUGGAAAAAGCUGAGCACUAGAUAUUACAUGCACACACUGAUUGUAACUCUGCAAAACACACACUGACUGGCGUAGGAUCAAUGUUGGAAAAGAAUGCAGAAGAAGGCAGACCGUAGAGGAUUUGGUGGAAAGAACAUGUUCAUUUAGAACCAGGGCUUGGCUCCAGAUGAUGUUUUGUGGAGAACCCCAGAGUUCCCAUGGAUGAUUGACAUGGUCAAAAUGAGUUCCACAGACAGUCCAUGCUUGUGCCAGAUGAGAUGGUUACCAGUAUUUUUUUCGUCAAUGUGAGGAAGCGCCUGGGGGCAAUUCUCUCCAAAGGGCCCUGGCACCUCUGCUUUCAAGGAUCUAAGGUGGGCUCUACCUCAAAAAGGCCACUGGCUGGUAUCCUUGCCACUGCUUCCUGCAAGUGGCCCAAAUCAGUUUGCAUCAGGGAAAACAGCCCAGAUUAUCCCCUGGGUACCCCAUCACAGACAAGCGGGCCCUACCUGCAGGCAGGUAGCUGGUGAUGCAAGCCUGUCCAUAUGGCUGGGCCUUUGCAAAUGGAAGGCAGCCAUCUAGUUAGUCAGUUGUUACGUGCAAAGAUUAGGGCCCUGCCACGCUUUAGCGAUUCCCUUUUCAGCCUUGAUUUCAAGGCAUAUGUGGAAUUGGUGAUAUAAUUUCAUUACAGCUAUUUCACUUUCACUUGCUUCAAAUGCAUUACGAGGAAACUGGGGCUUUGGAGAAGCCAAGACGCACAUAGAUCUUGUUGCUCCAAAGCAACAAGAUCUUUGAACUUGAGUAGAAUUCCACAUAGUAAGGGUGUGAUGCGAUGUCCCAUUGCAGUAGAGACUCAACAGGCGGAGGUGAAUAAUUUGUCCUUUCCCGGUUGGGCAACAUGGGCUGGCACAAGAACAGUGAUGGGGCAGGGUCAGCUGCCUCCGGGACAUGUGCCAGGAUGACUGGCCCCUUGUUGGCCAAUGCUAUGCUCCCCUCCCUCUGCUGUUCACAGCGGCUGCCCUCUGCAUAGCCUGGUACGGUUACACCAACUGCAUGGCAAGAAGCCAUCCCCCACUCACACAGCCCACCUUCCUACAGCAUCACCAGUACUCCAGAGAAAAUACCAGAAUCAGGUUGGCCCUUGGAAAGUUCACCACACUGCUUGAAGAAAUGAGACUCCAGGUUUGCACCCUUCUGCCUUUUCAAAGCCAGCAACUUGAGACUCACCGCAUUCUUGACCGACACAAAGUUAUUUAGCAACAGCAGAUUCGUCCACCAUGCUUGCCGGCAGUUAUCCCAGUGGAAUUUGGGCAUUUCCCAGACAGGUCCCCAGGGAACAAGAGAGAACAGUCCAACCAACAAGCACAUUGAAUACAGGUGAAGAGGCUGCAACCUGGCAGGAGAGAACCGAGAGAAAGAAGGUGACUUUCCACCGGGGUCCCUCCAGUCAUCUCAGUGGGCACGUGGCGGGUGGGGCAUAAGGUGCUCUAAAACAGAUUGUUUGUACCGUGGGCAGCUGCCACCCAGCCACACCUCAAACGUUCAAGCAUCCACGAGUUCCAGAUCACUUACUGAGCACCUAUCAUGUACUGGCUCAGGUGCUACUGCUGCAAAAAUACUGCUAUUUAUUUCUCUUUUUUUAAGAGACAGGGUCUCACUCACUACGGCCCUGACUUCCACCUCCUGGGCUCAAGCGAUCCUCUCACCUCAACCUCCCAAUUAGCUAGAACUGCAGGCGCAUGCCACCAUGUUCCACUAAAAAUACUGUUAUUUAUUGAGCAAGUCAUAUAGGCCAACCACUGUGGGAGGAGCCUGCUAGAGAUUUCUAAACCUCAAAACAAUCCUGCAAGGUAGCUAUGACCUCCAUUUUAUGAAGAAAUUAUAGCUAAGAGAAGAUAGGGUGACUUGCCCAAGGUCACCAACCACAUAGCAGUACCAAGAUCUGACACUGGUUCAUGUUCUUUCCACAUGGCCUCACACGAUGAAAAACUCUUUCUUCCUUCCCUCCCUCACUUGCUUCAUUUCUCCCUUCCUUCACGCCCUACCUCCUCCAAGCAAGAUCUGAAGCAGCUACAAAGGGGAAGAAUCAGGAGUAAGGUGUCUAGACCAGCGCUGUUCAACAGAAACAGGAUGCAAGCACAGCUGCCCCCAGUUUUACACUUUCCAGCAGCCACAAUUUAAAAGGUAAAAAGAAAUAGGUACAAAUCAUUUUAAUGUUAUUUAUUUAGACCAAUAUAUCCAAAAUAUUAUCAUUACAAAUACGUACCCAAUAUGAAACAUUGUUAAUAAGCUAUUUGACAUUCUUUUCCCUUUUACUGAGUCUUCAGAGCCCAGUGUGGGCUUUGCACACAUAGCACAUCUCACUUACCCACUUACCUGGUGGCUAUUUGCUGGACAGUGUGGGUUUAGAGUUUAGAAAUGAGAUUGCAGCCUGGAGGCGCAUAUAAUACUGGCAUGGAUUCUGCAUGGGCUGGGGUCAGAGCCCUCUUCUAAAAGAAUAUAGCUAAAAAUCCAGGGUAGUUUUGGCUCAACUAGGGCAGAACAAUGGCCCAGCAGUACCUCCAGACACCUAGGUGAGAGGGUGGGGGCUGGGGUGGUGGUCACAGAUGGGAACUGGCAGGACUUGGAGCGUCUCCACUUAGAGGUACAUCCCCAGCAGAGAGGGGCUCAGCACCAAGCCUCUGGUCUGCACCUGGGGACGGAGACCAUUGAUUCCCCUGUUCUCCCCACAAUGAGAACGUCCUACAUAGAGAGUGUCCGGUGGGUGGGAGGGCGGUAGGCAUUCUAGGAGAGGGAGUGGAAUUGUUGAUCAAUGUCAUACAGAAAAGGCAGGCAACUCUGUCAAGACACAGCUUCCCAGAUCAGCUCGCCUGCGGGUUUGCUCAGGCAACAGCCUCCCUGGGUCCUAGGCACUGGGUCCUGCCAUGUUUGCCAUCUGACCAUGCUGCCCCGCAGCUGCCCCUACAAGCCUCCGGCCCCGCCUUUUUGAUCAUCCUUCCCACCAUCUGUCACCUCCCCUCCCCGGGGAAAGUAGCCAGCGCUGCUCCCUUCAGAAGGAGAGCAGAAGGGAGCAUUCCCCUGCCCCCCACUCCAGGCAGCAUCCCUCACCUCUGCCAAAUCCCCCCUCCCCAGGGUGCUUGUUAAAAUGCAGACUUGGAGUCUGCAGGCUGUUGGGUGGGCCACGCCUUGAGUAGCAAGUUCAUCUAAACUUUUCACACUGAGAAAAUCAUGUAAUGUCUCCUCUUUCCUCUCCUCUAAAAGGGAAAUGAGGGUUUCUGCUUUCUAAGAUUUUUUUGAAAAUCUAACAAGAAAACAGUUUGAAAUAUUUAAACCACCCUCAAAUAUACAGGUGCUACAUUUUUGUCCAAGUUUCCAAGAGAAUAAAAGUCAAAGUGGGUUUUCAAAGAUUAAAAUGUGGGAUACUGGCCAGUGUGGUGGAGGGGUGAGAAGCAGGGAUUCUCAUACCUGGUGGGUGGGAAGGUAAAUUGGAAAAUGCACAUUAAAUGUUAAAUGCCCAAAACCCCCCAUUCCACUUGUAGGAAUUUAGCCCACAAACAUGUCUAUACAAGUGCACAAAAAUAUAUAGAGAUUAUCCCAUUGUCUAAGACAGCAAAGAAUUUGGACAUUAGCUCCAUGUCCACUAAUGGGGACAAGUUAAAUACAUAAUGGUACCCCACUGUGCCAUACUGAUAACCUUUAACAUCAGGGAUGUGGGUUCUUGUGUGCUUAUAGAGAAAUAGGCCAAUUCUGUAUUAUAAAUGAAAACACCACGUACAAACAGUGAAGUAUAUACUGCAAUCCUAUGCGUGCAGGAGAAGAACAGUGCUUAUAAAUACAUGGAAAGAUUCUGCAAGAAUUCCUAAGAAACUGUUAAAUACAGGUGUCCUGGGGGGAGUGAGACUAGAAGGGGGACCCUUUAUUUUAGUUAUAAGCUUCUGUUAUAGUUAGACAUUUUUAUCACAAGGUAUAAAAAAAAAAAAACCCUAAUUUUUAAAAUGUAGCUGCUAGUUGACAUAACCAGGCAGUUCUACAGUUCUAGAGCUUUACUCUCUUCCUUUCCUGUUAGAUAAUCUCUGUCCUGACUUACCCCUAGAAGUUGGGUUUGGGGAUUUUCUUAUAACUUGCAAUAGCUCCCAAAUGGUCUCCCCCUAUCUGGACCUUACAGCCAUUCUCUGCCCUGCAGCCAGAGUGAGUCUUGCAAGAUGUAAAUCUGCCCAUGCCACUCCCUUGCUGGGACCCUUCAGAGGUUUAUGUCUCAGAACAACAGGGAGAGUCCUUAGGGCAGCCUCCGCCCGUCUCUGACCUCAUUCCUCCCACUGUCCACGUGGCUCACUUCACUCCACACAACACCUUUGGGCUCUUUGAGGCUCUUCACACACUGCGACGCCCCUCCUUCCCCAGGACCUUUGUGAUUCGGUUCUCCCGGAAUGGACCAUUCUUCCCCCACAGGAUUUUCUUUGCUUAGAACAUUCCUUUAUUUUCUUCUGGGCUCUGGCCAAAAGUCACCUCCCCUGACUGCCCUUCCAGAGAAAGCCUCCAGCUUGCUUUCUUCUUUUAUUUAUUUAUUUAUUUGGGCAAAGUCUCGUUCUGUCGCCCAGGCUGGAAGGCAGUGGUGCGAUCACGGCUCACUGAAGCAUCCGCCUCCUGGGCUCAAGCAAUCCUCCCACCUCAGCCUCCCAAGGAGCUGGGACCACGGGCACGUGCCACCACACCAGGCUAAUUUUUUGUAUGUUUUGUAGAAAUGAGGUCUCACUAUGUUGGCCAGGCUGGUCUCAAACUCCUGGGCUCAGGGGAUCGUCCCACCUUUGCCUCCCAAAGUGCUGGGAUUGUAAGGCGUGAGCCACUGCACCCAGCCUCUUCUCCAAAUGAUCACUUUGUGGCACCCAUCCUCCCUGGCCUAGCAUACAUUUAUUUGCAUGCUGCAACUUCAAAUUGCAUAUUCAUUUAUUUAUUGUCUGCCUGUAUUCACUGGAAUGUAACCUGAGGGCUGGAAGGCACAUUUGCAUGGCUUAUUAAAACUCUGUUCUCAGGGCUUAGGACAGCGCCUAGCACAAAAUGGGCCUCAGAAUGAGUGAAUGAACAGAUGGUCUGACCCCUGUCCUCCUGGAGAUAAGCAGACAAGUGAUAAGUGCUAACCAGGUAGCAUCAGUGAGUUAUACCAGCACACAUGAGAACCUCAAAAUGGCCAGGAUCAUGACUGUUUUUUCACUGGGGUUACCUUAGUGAGGGUGAGUUCAACUUGUGGGUUUGUGACAGUUCCCUCCAUUUUCAAAAAAAUUUUUUCCCAGGUUGGACUGAUUGUCUCCCUAGGCUCCCACUCUGACCUGCCUCCCUUCCAGAGUUCCCCAGCUCAAGAAUGCCAGCACCACCUGCCAUGUUGCUCAAGCCAGAAAAUUCCUGAGUCCUUGAUUUCUCCUCUCUCCAUUCCCACUGCCAAUUGCCAGUGCAAACCCUGCUCUCCUGCCCAGACACUGCAGUAAUUUACUCACUGGGGUCCUUGUCUUACAAGGUCUCACUACCACCCAACUCUCACCCCGUGCUCCUCCUGCCCCUACCACUGCUCUAUCCACCUUGAAAAAACCCCUCUCUCCUCAAUCCCCAGCUCCAGACUUUUACUCUGAAGUAGGUUUCCCAAGGCUGGAUGCAGUGGCUCACACUUGUAUUCCUAGCAUUUUGGGAGGCCAAAGCGGACAGAUUAUCUGAGGUCAGGAGUUUGAGACCAGCCUGGCCAACACAAAAAACCCUGUCUCUACUAAAAAUACAAAAAUGAGCCAGGCAUGGUGGUGGGUACCUGUAAUCCCAGCUACUCAGAAGGCUGAGGCAGGAGAAUCACUUGAACUCAGGAGGAAGAGGUUGCAAUGAGCCAAGAUCGUGCCACUGCACUCCAGCCCGGGCGAUAGAGCAAGACUCCAUCUCAAAAAAUAAAUAAAUAGGCCAGGGAUGGUGGCUCAUGCCUGUAAUCCCAGCACUUCGGGAGGCCGAGGCAGGCGGAUCACCUGAGGUCAGGAGUCCAAGACCAGACUCAUCAAUAUGAUGAAACCCCGUCUCUACUAAAAAUACAAAAAUUAGGGGGUCAUGGUCGUGCAUGCCUGUAAUCCCAGCUACUCGGGAGGCUGAGACAGGAGAAUUGCUUGAACCCGGGAGGCGGAGGUUGCAGUGAGCCGAGAUCGUGACAUUGCAGUCCAGCCUGGGCAACAAAAGCGAAACUCCAUCUCAAAAAAUAAAUUAAAUAAAUAAAUAAAAUAAAAUAAAAUAAAAUAAAAAAGUUGGUUUCCCAAGCAGAACCCACCAUGCCAUUAGAUCCCCUGCCCCAACCCCCACCUAACCCCUCUGAGCAUUUAUCACCAUGACCCCUCAUCCUGUAUGCCAGCCUCUCACCUCCAGAAAACCUCAGGGCAGGACAGGCUGCUUACCCCAGUGCCACACACCCAAAAUAUAUUGAAAUCAUAAGCCUUCUGCCCUUCCCUGGAGGAGGGUUAGAUUUUAUAAAGCUUGGAAGAAACCACAAAGACUGUGGUGAAAAGAAACCAACAAAGGUCUAUUCCUUAGCUUCUCCCCAUUCUUCACCUAUUUGAUGGAAAGCUUAAAAGGUAUAAAUAACCACCACGCUAAUAAUGAUAGCUCCUACGUAUUGAGGGCUUACUAUGUAUAAAGCACCCUUCCAAGUUCUUUACAUACAUUAUCUCAUUGAAUCCUCACAAGAGUCCUGUGAUGUGUCACUAUUCUUCCCAUUUUAGAGAUGAGCAAAUGCAAGCACAGAAAGACUGAGAGAGACACUUAACUCAAGGUCACACCGCUGCUAUGUGAUUGAGCCAGAAUACACGCUCAGCAGUCCAACUACAGAGUCUGCACUUGCCCACUGCAUUUCACUAGUCCCAAAGAUUAUGACAACACUCCUCUUCCUAUUUUGUGACAGUGUGGUAUAACAAGAUGAACGUGAACCAGGAGUCAGGAGUGCUGGCUUCCAGCUCAGCAAAUAACCACGACAUAGAAAAUAUAUCAAUGGCAGGGUUGGAUGACAUGAGCUGAAGUUUCCUUUUCUCCCUUAACUUUGUUGUUUUUUUUGUUUGUUUGUUUUGAGACAGGGUCUCACUCUGUUGCCCACGCUGGAGUGCAGUGGCAGGAUCUUGGCUCACUGCAACCUCCACCUCCGGAGUUCAAGUGAUUCUCCCACCUCAACUUCCCGAGUAGCUGGGAUUACAGUCGUGUGCCACCACGCUCAGCUAAUCAUUUGUAUUUUUGGUAGAGAAAGGGUUUCACCAUGUUAGCCAGGCUGGUCUCAAACUCCUCACCUCAAGUGAUAUGCCCCCCUCAGCCUCCCAAGGGCCUCCCCAAAACGCCUGAGAUUACAGGCAUGAGCCACUGUGCCCAGCCCUUCCUCCCUUAACUUUGGUUGUCUCAUUCUGUCACUGCCACUCUGCUACCACCGAUUCCGUAUUCUGCCCCAGUGUUGGAAUCCCUUCUGCAUCAACCAACCACACAUUCCUAAAGGAGACCGUCAGCUAGGCACGGUGGCUCACGCCUGCAAUCCCAGGACUUUGGGAGGCCGAGACAGGCAGAUCACGAGGUCAGGAGUUCAAGACCAGCCUGGCCAACAUAGUGAAACCCCGUCUCUACUAAAAAUACAAAAAAAAAUCAAAUCAAAUAUUAGCCAGUCAUGGUGGCGGGCGCCUGUAAUCCCACCUACUCAGGAGGCUGAGGCAGGAGAAUUGCUUGAACCCAGCAGGCAGAGGUUGAAGUGAGCAGAGAUGGCGUCACUGCACUCCAGCCUGGGUCACAGUGCGAGACUCUGUCUCAAAAACAAAAAAAAAAAAAAAAAAAAAAGGAGAUCGUCAUUCUUCCUGCCUCCCUCCCAGCAGAAUGGCCAUGGCCCAGAGCUUCAACCAAGUUCCUUUCCUGGUCACGUACUGUUUUAUUUUUAUCAUUACCAUUAGCACUCUGAUUUAUAGGAUCCAAUUACUACUAAUUUGCAGACAAACAAAUUUUCCUGUUGAAUACAGAUUCCAUGGAAAUCUGACAGUGCAUUUAUUGAACUCUGCUGCCCAUCAGCUGAGGACUAAGGAUGUUUUUGCCAGUGGAACAUACCAGUUUUCAUGGUAUUUGUCCCAGUAGAAUUUGAUCCAUAUUAAACCAGCUUAAAUCAACUGUAUUUAGGGAAGAAAACUAUUUCUUUCAGUUUAUUUUUCUUUGGAAAUUCUUUGAAAAGAGGGUUAAAGACAGAAAACUAAUAAAUCGUUACAUAGCAAUGAGGAAUUGAGAAAUUAAGUAAAUAAACCUACUGUCAGGCCUCUGAGCCCAAGCUAAGCCAUCAUAUCCCCUGUGACCUGCACAUAUACAUCCAGAUGGCCUGAAGCAACUGAAGAUCCACAAAAGAAGUGAAAAUAGCCUUAACUGAUGACGUUCCACCAUUGUGAUUUGUUUCUGCCCCACCCUAACUGAUCAAUGUACUUUGUAAUCUCCCCCACCCUUAAGAAGUUUCUUUGUAAUUCUCCCCACCCUUGAGAAUGUACUUUGUGAGAUCCACCCACUGCCCCCCGCAAAACAUUGCUCCUAACUCCACCGCCUAUACCAAAACCUAUAAGAACUAAUGAAAAGCCCACCACCCUUUGCUGACUCUCUUUUCGGACUCAGCCCACCUGCACCCAGGUGAAAUAAACAGCCUUGUUGCUUGCACAAAGCCUGUCUGGUGGUCUCUUCACACGGACACACGUGACACCUACCUUACCAGGUGACUGAGAAAGUAUCUGAGUAUGCCUUUGGGGGUUAUUCCUUUGUCUGAAUUCUGAUGCAUCUUUAAAAACGAACUUGCACUUAACCAACCACUAAAAGAAAAAGAAGAAUUGUCG
rnacentral:lncRNA from 1 species